CCUACGGGAUGCAGCAGUGGGGAAUAUUGCGCAAUGGGCGAAAGCCUGACGCAGCGACGCCGCGUGAGGGAUGAAGGUCUUCGGAUCGUAAACCUCUGUCAGCAGGGAAGAACGGUCACUGUGCUAAUCAGCAGUGAAUUGACGGUACCUGCAAAGGAAGCAACGGCUAAUUCCGUGCCAGCAGCCGCGGUAAUACGGAGGGUGCGAGCGUUAAUCGGAAUUACUGGGCGUAAAGCGCUCGUAGGCGGUAUGGCAAGUCAAGGGGUAAAUCCCCGCGCUCAACGUGGGAACUGCUUUUGAAACUGGCAAACUGGAGUGUGUGAGAGGAUAGUGGAAUUCCAGGUGUAGGAGUGAAAUCCGUAGAUAUCUGGAGGAACAUCAGUGGCGAAGGCGACUAUCUGGCACAUAACUGACGCUGAGGAGCGAAAGCGUGGGUAGCAAACAGGAUUAGAUACCCGUGUAGUC
rnacentral:rRNA from 1 species